rnacentral:rRNA from 1 species
AACGAACGCUGGCGGCAGGCUUAACACAUGCAAGUCGAACGAUGUAGCAAUACAUAGUGGCGCACGGGUGAGUAACGCGUGGGAAUAUACCAAUCAGUGGGGAAUAACUUUGGGAAACUAAAGCUAAUACCGCAUACGCCCGAGAGGGGAAAGAUUUAUCGCUGAUUGAUUAGCCCGCGUGAGAUUAGGUAGUUGGUGGGGUAAUGGCCUACCAAGCCUACGAUCUCUAGCUGGUCUGAGAGGAUGAUCAGCCACACUGGAACUGAGACACGGUCCAGACUCCUACGGGAGGCAGCAGUGGGGAAUAUUGGGCAAUGGAGGAAACUCUGACCCAGCCAUGCCGCGUGAAUGAUGAAGGCCUUAGGGUUGUAAAGUUCUUUCGCCGAUGAAGAUAAUGACGGUAGUCGGAGAAGAAGCCCCGGCUAACUUCGUGCCAGCAGCCGCGGUAA